CCUUACUACAUGGAUAACCGUGGUAAUUCUAGAGCUAAUACAUGCUAAAAACCCCAACUUUGGAAGGGGUGUAUUUAUUAGAUUAAAAACCAAUGCCCUUUGGGGCUCCCUGGUGAUUCAUAAUAACUUCUCGAAUCGCACGGCCUUGCGCCGGCGAUGGUUCAUUCAAAUUUCUGCCCUAUCAACUUUCGACGGCAGGGUCUUGGCCUGCCAUGGUGACAACGGGUAACGGAGGGUUAGGGCUCGACCCCGGAGAAGGAGCCUGAGAAACGGCUACUACAUCCAAGGAAGGCAGCAGGCGCGCAAAUUACCCAAUCCCGACUCGGGGAGGUAGUGACAAUAAAUACUGAUACAGGGCUCUUUUGGGUCUUGUAAUUGGAAUGAGUACAAUUUAAAUCCCUUAACGAGGAACAAUUGGAGGGCAAGUCUGGUAAUCG
rnacentral:rRNA from 1 species